CAGCCAUAUCAAAUUUAAACACCGGUUCUCUUACGAUCACCAAAGUUAAGAAACGUCGAGCCUGGUAAUUAAUUAGAUGGGUGACCUUGCGAAUACCAAGUGCUGUAAGC